GUAUUCAAUCAUCACUUGUCCAUGUAAAAAUUGUUUCCAAGAUUUUCUUUCUUGCGAUCAUUAUUUUCUCAUUUCCUUGAUUUUUCUAGAGAAUCAUCUCUCAUGCUUUCUCUUUUUUUUUCCCCCAGAUUCAUCUCUUUUGCACUUUUGAAGUGCUUCUUCAUCAAUUCUGAGCAGAGCCUCAAGUUCAUCUCUUUCUCUCAGUUUGAUUGAAGAUAAUAAGUCAUGGUCUUGAUACCGGGUGCGAGUUUUAGUUGUAUUUCAUCACCAGCCUUUCACAGCUUUGCUCUGUCUCAACCCUGUUUGAUUAUUGCCGGA
rnacentral:lncRNA from 1 species